rnacentral:rRNA from 1 species
GGAGGAAAAGAAACCAACAGGGAUUGCCCUAGUAACGGCGAGUGAAGCGGCAACAGCUCAAAUUUGAAAGCUGGCUUAGGCCCGCAUUGUAAUUUGCAGAGGAUGCUUUUGGUGAGGUGCCUUCCGAGUUCCCUGGAACGGGACGCCAUAGAGGGUGAGAGCCCCGUAUGGAUGGCCACCAAACCUGUGUAAAGCUCCUUCAACGAGUCGAGUAGUUUGGGAAUGCUGCUCUAAAUGGGAGGUAAAUCUCUUCUAAAGCUAAAUACCGGCCAGAGACCGAUAGCGCACAAGUAGAGUGAUCGAAAGAUGAAAAGCACCUUGAAAAGGGGGUUAAACAGUACGUGAAAUUGUUGAAAGGGAAGCGCUUGUGACCAGACUUGCGCCGGGCGGCUCAUCAGGGGUUCUCCCCUGUGCACUCCGCCCGGCUCAGGCCAGCAUCGGUUCUCGUGGGAGGAUAAGAACGGUAGGAACGUGGCCCCCCUCCGGGGGGGUGUUAUAGCCUACCGUACGAUACUCUCGUGGGGACCGAGGUUCGCGCUCCGCAAGGAUGCUGGCGUAA